rnacentral:rRNA from 1 species
AGAGUUGAUCCUGGCUUAGAACGAACGCUGGCGGCAGGCCUAACACAUGCAAGUCGAGCGCGCCCUUCGGGGUGAGCGGCGGACGGGUUAGUAACGCGUGGGAACGUACCCUUUGGUAGGGAAUAGCCACUGGAAACGGUGAGUAAUACCCUAUGAGCCCUUCGGGGGAAAGAUUUAUCGCCAAAGGAUCGGCCCGCGUUAGAUUAGGUAGUUGGUGGGGUAAUGGCCUACCAAGCCUACGAUCUAUAGCUGGUUUUAGAGGAUGAUCAGCAACACUGGGACUGAGACACGGCCCAGACUCCUACGGGAGGCAGCAGUGGGGAAUCUUGGACAAUGGGGGCAACCCUGAUCCAAGCCAUGCCGCGUGAGUGAAGAAGGCCUUAGGGUCGUAAAGCUCUUUCGCCUGUGAAGAUAAUGACGGUAGCAGGUAAAGAAACCCCGGCUAACUCCGUGCCAGCAGCAGC